rnacentral:lncRNA from 1 species
CUCUAAGGGACGCUGUUGGUCAGCAAAACAUUUAAGUCUUGUCGUCAUCCAGUCCAUCCUCCCUCUGAUACCAAAGGCUGUCUGUGUUUUAUGCGGUUUAAACGUUGUAGGGGAGAGCACAGUCUCACAGAUUUUCAUGUGAUAUUCGAAGAUCGUAUUUUGCCAGGACAAGGAUUUAAAGGAACCAGUUUCACCAUCAUUUCCACUGGAUACACACACUUGUUUUUUUUUUCUUUGUUGCUAUGAUGGCAGUUGAAGGAUUUCUCUUCGACAAAUGCGCAAGAUGGCGAGUAUUUCAAGGACUGCUACGGAAAUUACAAAUGCUGUUUUUCCUGCUGUGUGUUGCUAACGUGGUUGAUGGUCAGAUUCGUUAUUCUAUACCAGAGGAGAUGAAGAAAGGCUCUGUUAUCGGUAAUGUGGCUCAAGAUCUUGGUUUGGAUCUGAGAAGGCUCCGUUCAGGGCGGGCCCGUAUCGUGAGUGGAGAAAACAUCCAGUACACCGAGCUGAAGACAGACAAAGGGACUCUGGUCGUGAAUGAGAGAAUUGACCGAGAGCAGCUCUGUGGAGACACGACUCCGUGUAGCUUCAGCUUUGAGAUGAUUUUAGAGAAUCCAAUGGAACUACACAGAAUAACUGUCGAGGUUCUGGACAUAAAUGAUCACGCUCCUGUUUUCCCCAAAAUUGAUAAGCCUAUCCGCCUCGAGAUUAGUGAAUCAGCGCUGGUAGGAGUACAGUUUCCACUGCCGAGCGCAGAAGACUUAGAUGUUGGGCAAAACGCUCUACAAGAUUACAUUUUGUCAACCAACGACAAUUUUAUAUUGAAGCAACAUGCGAAUCCAGACGGAAAUAAAUAUGUAGAAAUGGUGCUCCAGAAGCCUUUAGACCGAGAGCGACAUCCACACUUGUCGUUAAAACUGAUCGCAGUCGACGGAGGAACACCACAAAGAUCUGGUACAGUAAAUAUAGAAAUCACUGUCUUAGAUGUAAAUGACAAUGUUCCGAUUUUUAACCAAUCAAUGUAUAAAGCCUCUGUGUUUGAAAACACAAUGAAGGGUGCAAGAAUUAUAACAGUAAACGCCACAGACGCUGACAGUGGUUCAAAUGGAGUCAUUAGUUAUAGUUUGUCUAAUACAAGAGGCAGUGCGGAAGAUUUGUUUAGCAUUGAUGAAAAAACAGGCGCUAUAUCUGUAAAUGGUCCUCUAGAUUAUGAAAAAGACAGAAAAUAUGAGGUGAGGGUGGAGGCUAGGGAUCAAGGUGGAUUAACAGGAACAAGUAAAGUUAUAUUUGAUGUUUUUGAUGUUAACGACAAUGCUCCAGUGAUCAACAUUAUGUCUUUUUCUAGUCCUGUAUCUGAAGAUGCUCCUCCUGGUACAACAAUAGCUAUUUUAAAUAUAAAAGAUGCGGAUUCUGAUAAAAAUGGACAAAUAAAAUGUUCAAUCGAUGGAAAACUGCCUUUCAAAAUCGUCUCAUCUCUGACAAACUAUUACAAUUUGAUCUCGGAUCAACAUUUUGAUAGAGAAUCUGUCUCAGAAUAUAACAUCACAAUAACAGCCACUGAUUUCGGUUCUCCGCCUCUUUCCACCUCCACAAAAUUGCACCUAAAGAUUUCUGACGUAAAUGACAACGCGCCAUUAUUUGAUAAAACAAUUUACUCUGCUUACAUCACAGAAAAUAAUCCACCUGGAGUAUCCAUAUUUACUGUCAGCGCGAGAGACUCAGAUUGGGGCCAAAAUGCAAGAAUCUCGUAUAUUUUAGAGGAUACACAGGUCAGUGGAAGUCCAGUCUCGACUUAUGUGAGUUUAAACUCUGAAACUGGAGUUCUCAGCGCAGUUCGUUCUCUUGAUUAUGAGCAAAUCAAAUAUCUUCAGCUGGUAGUCAAAGCUCAAGAUGGAGGCUCCCCUCCACUCAGCAGCAACGUGACAGUGAAAAUAAUGAUCCAGGACCAGAACGACAACCCUCCUCAGGUCCUGUACCCGGUCCAGACCGGUGGCUCUCUGGUUGCUGAGAUGGUUCCUCGUGCAGCAGAUGUGGGCUAUCUGGUGACUAAAGUGGUGGCUGUGGACGUGGACUCUGGACAGAAUGCCUGGCUGUCGUAUAAACUGCAGAAAGCCACAGACAGGGCGCUGUUUGAAGUGGGCUUACAGAAUGGAGAAAUCCGAACUAUCCGCCAAGUGAGUGAUAAAGAUGCUGUGAAACAAAGACUGACUGUGAUAGUGGAGGACAACGGGCAGCCGUCUCGUUCAGC